rnacentral:rRNA from 1 species
UACGAAGGGGGCUAGCGUUGCUCGGAAUCACUGGGCGUAAAGCGCACGUAGGCGGCUUCUUAAGUCAGGGGUGAAAUCCUGGAGCUCAACUCCAGAACUGCCCUUGAUACUGAGGAGCUUGAGUCCGGGAGAGGUGAGUGGAACUGCGAGUGUAGAGGUGAAAUUUGUAGAGAUUGGGAGGAACACCGGAGGCGAAAGCGGCUCACUAACCGAACAUUGACGCUCAAGCACGAAAGCGUGGGUAGCAAACAGG